AGCAGCCGCGGUAAUUCCAGCUCCAAUAGCGUAUAUUAAAGUUGUUGCAGUUAAAAAGCUCGUAGUUGAAUUUCGGGGUCAGCAGGUUGGUCGUGCCACUGGUAUGCACUGGCUUCGCUGAUUCCUCCUUCUUGAAGAACCGUAAUGUCAUUAAUUUGGUGUUGCGGGGAAACAGGACUGUUACUUUGAAAAAAUUAGAGUGUUUUAAAGCAGGCUAACGCUUGAAUACAUUAGCAUGGAAUAAUGAAAUAGGACGUUUGAUCCUAUUUUGUUGGUUUCUAGGAUUGACGUAAUGAUUAAUAGGGAUAGUUGGGGGCAUUAGUAUUCAAUUGUCAGAGGUGAAAUUCUUGGAUUUAUUGAAGACUAACUACUGCGAAAGCAUUUGCCAAGGAUGUUUUCAUUAAUCAAGAACGAAAGUUAGGGGAUCGAAGACGAUCAGAUACCGUCGUAGUCUUAACCAUAAACUAUGCCGACUAAGGAUCGGAUGAUGUUAAUUUUUAAUUGACUCAUUCGGCGUCUU
rnacentral:rRNA from 1 species